rnacentral:rRNA from 1 species
AUGCAUGCGACUGUCUCUGUCUGCUUGCGUACGUUUCUUUUUCUGCCUUGCUUACUACACUCGCUUCUUUCUUCUCUUCCUUUUUGUGAAGGCUACACUCUUACUGCUGAUUGUUCUUGUGCAUUUGAUGGUCUCAUGCCUGCUGCUCCGCUCGCCGGCGUGGGAUCUGCUUCCUCGGUGGCCCAGACGAUUCAUGGGUCGUCUGGUUAUCCUUUUUCUCUUCCUGCUGAUGUUCACCUUGAUCAUCCCUUGGUGGGUGCUCCGUCUGUUGUUAAUCGUUCCAAGGGUGUGCCUUUGCGUGUGGCCGGUGCUUUCGGUCGGCCUACUCCUCUUGGGUUUGCCAUCUCCGAUUCGCUUCGCCACACGAAGCGGUGUUCUUCUUUCUUGGUGGGUAGGUCAUGGUGGUUCUUGCCGAAGUGGUGUCUGCCGCCGGGGCCGUCCAUACCUCGUCGGAGCCCCAACUGCCAGGAUGCAAUUCAUCUCUCGGCGCCGGUACAAUCUCCCCCACGCGGUCGAGUUGGCGGCGCACGCAUGAGAUAUCACCGACUACUGGUGGGAGCCAUCACUGACGACUUGCAGGAGGUGCAUGCGGAGGGCCUGAUAUGGUGGGGUUCAGUGCAGCAAUCUGGCCGAUGA